AAAAGCAAGACACUUGGCUGAGUCCAAAGUCAUGGUUCAGGGAAGCGCUUUCCACCUGUAUGAGGUCAAAGCAAAACUCACAUGGCCAACCCAGCAUCAGUGGAAGAGCCUUCGGGACCUACUGGAGGCUGAUCUUGUAUGGAUGUCACUUCCACUUGAAGAAACGUGCUUCCAUACUGUUCCAUCAUUCUGUGCAUUCUGUGAGAUAUCAAGUCAUCUUGAUAUGCCAAAUAUACCAUUUCACAGUCAUGUGAUCAUGUGGUGUCCCACGAUCAGCCCUGUCUCCAUGAAGGAAUUCUGUCAGUUACUAUAUCUAAAUCAAGUAUGUAUUCAGGAACAGAAGAAACAACCUCUGUGGUUUUGCAGUUCCGGUGAGACCUCCUUAAGUCUCUCUGACUGGUGGGACAGAGUUGAAUUUCAGUUUCCCAUUUCAUCUCAGUGCAAUUAUCCAAUAUAUCUCCAAACGUCCAGAUGUCUCUGAGAACCUCUCAAUAGCAGAAUCUAAAUGGAACCUUGCUGGCACGGAAGUCUGGGGCUUUCCACCCUUGCAAUAUGGAGAAGUGCUUAGAAGGCAGGAAUGGUACUGAGUUUCAACAAAGAAUGACACAAUGACCAUGGAGAAAAAUAAGGUCCCAAGAACUGGACUUCUUUUCAGAAUGUCUCAAACCAAAUGAACUAAUUAUAACCAAACGUAAACUCAAUUCUAUAGUUCUAGAUGGGUGAAUGUGGG
rnacentral:lncRNA from 1 species